UGGGGAAUUUUGGACAAUGGGCGAAAGCCUGAUCCAGCAAUGCCGCGUGUGUGAAGAAGGCCUUCGGGUUGUAAAGCACUUUUGUCCGGAAAGAAAUCCUUGGCUCUAAUACAGUCGGGGGAUGACGGUACCGGAAGAAUAAGCACCGGCUAACUACGUGCCAGCAGCCGCGGUAAUACGUAGGGUGCAAGCGUUAAUCGGAAUUACUGGGCGUAAAGCGUGCGCAGGCGGUUUGCUAAGACCGAUGUGAAAUCCCCGGGCUCAACCUGGGAACUGCAUUGGUGACUGGCAGGCUAGAGUAUGGCAGAGGGGGGUAGAAUUCCACGUGUAGCAGUGAAAUGCGUAGAGAUGUGGAGGAAUACCGAUGGCGAAGGCAGCCCCCUGGGCCAAUACUGACGCUCAUGCACGAAAGCGUGGGGAGCAAAACAGGAUUAGAUACCCUGGUAGUCCACGCCCUAAACGAUGUCAACUAGUUGUUGGGGAUUCAUUCCUUAGUAACGUAGCUAACGCGUGAAGUUGACCGCCUGGGGAGUACGGUCGCAAAGAUUAAAACUCAAAUGAAUUGACGGGGUCAUAGCUG
rnacentral:rRNA from 1 species